GUCCGACACACCCUCUCCCGCUCGUCAAGCUACCCGGAACAAGUCACGCUACCCGGAACAGCUGCCUGUUCUGUUCCGGGGCAGCCCUGAAGGCGUUCUGCUUCUUGGCCUUUUUUCCGCGUAGUCCCGUUCGCGCGACGACGCAGCAGCAGGAGUAGUUAACGCGCGCGCGCGGUGACGGUCCGCUCGUCUUGCCGGCGGCCUUCGUUCUUUCCAGGGGCUGGGGGACUCCUGCUUGGGUCGUGGUGGGAAGCAGGUGGCAGCGCGCGUGCGCAGCAGUCUUCGGCUGCUUCUUCUCCCUCGCCUCCUCCUGGGGUCUCCUCCUGCCAGGGAGCCAAUUCCAGAUGCCCUGCAAUGGAUGAUGACAGUCAGGACGAGCUUAUAAACAAGAAUGCUGCAGUAGGGAAAAUCAAAAGAACAUCCGCGCUGUUUCUCAGCGAUGCAGAAAGCAGUGAUGGAAAUACUGGGGACUCAGAUGACACAGGGAGUGAGGAAGAAGGUGAUACUGAUGAAGAUGGCCGUGAAGAGGAGGAAGAAGGUGAAGAUGAAGAUGUAGAAGGUGAGUGACUGUUUUACAGUUUUGUUCAUUAGUGUGUGGUGGAAUAA
rnacentral:lncRNA from 1 species